rnacentral:rRNA from 1 species
GGAAUCUUCCACAAUGGACACAAGUCUGAUGGAGCAACGCCGCGUGAGUGAAGAAGGUCUUCGGAUCGUAAAACUCUGUUGUUAGAGAAGAACACGAGUGAGAGUAACUGUUCAUUCGAUGACGGUAUCUAACCAGCAAGUCACGGCUAACUACGUGCCAG